GUGGAUUAGAUACCCUGGUAGUCCACGCCGUAAACGAUGGAUGCUAGCCGUUGUCGGGUUUACCCGUCAGUGGCGCAGCUAACGCAUUAAGCAUCCCGCCUGGGGAGUACGGUCGCAAGAUUAAAACUCAAAGGAAUUGACGGGGGCCCGCACAAGCGGUGGAGCAUGUGGUUCAAUUCGAAGCAACGCGCAGAACCUUACCAGCCUUUGACAUCCCGGUCGCGGGCACCAGAGAUGGAGCCCUUCAGUUCGGCUGGACCGGAGACAGGUGCUGCAUGGCUGUCGACAACU
rnacentral:rRNA from 1 species